rnacentral:rRNA from 1 species
UACGUAGGUGGCAAGCGUUGUCCGGAUUUACUGGGCGUAAAGGAUGCGUAGGUGGAUAUUUAAGUCAGAUGUGAAAUACCCGAGCUUAACUUGGGUGCUGCAUUUGAAACUGGAUAUCUAGAGUGCAGGAGAGGUAAGUGGAAUUCCUAGUGUAGCGGUGAAAUGCGGUAGAGAUUAGGAAGAACACCAGUGGCGGAAGGCGACUUACUGGACUGGUAACUGACACUGAGGCAUGAAAGCGUGGGGAGCAAACAGGG